AGAGAGAGACAUGCGCGCAUAUCAAUAAGCGGAGGAAAAGAGACUAACAAGGAUUCCCUUAGUAACGGCGAGUGAAGCGGGAAGAGCUCAAAUUUGAAAUCUUCAAGGUUUUACCUUGACGAAUUGUAGUUUAAAGAAGUGUUUUCUGUUAGGAGUUAGGUAAAAGUUCUUUGGAAUAGGACAUCAUAGAGGGUGAGAAUCCCGUAUUUGAUCACUUUCUACUAACGUUGUGAUACACUUUCAAAGAGUCGGAUUGUUUGGGAAUGCAGUCCAAAAUGGGUGGUAAAUUUCAUCUAAAGCUAAAUAUUGGCGAGAGACCGAUAGCGAACAAGUACCGUGAGGGAAAGAUGAAAAGAACUUUGAAAAGAGAGUUAAACAGUACGUGAAAUUGUCAAAAGGGAAGCGCUUGACACCAGUGUUGUUUUCUCGAAAAUCAAUUAAAAAUGGCCGGAUUUUGUGUUGUAUUGACCUUAUAAUGCUUUCUGCACUUCUUUCUUGUCUUUUUUAAUGCACUUUUCGUUUAACAAGUCAACAUCAAUUUCUUUUGUUGUAAAAGGGUCAUUGGAAGGUGGCUUUCUUUUCGGAGAAAGUGUUUAUAGCCUUUGGCUUCUGCAAUCGGAGAGAUUGAGGUCUGCAGCGUAGAUCCUUCGGGGUUAGAUACAUUUGUGCUAAGUUAUAGCCUUUCAUAGACAACUUGUUGACUAUGAUCAGUCAUGUAGCUUACUCGCUUAUGCUAUUUUACCUACGCUUAGGAUGUUGACAGCAGUAUAGACUGU
rnacentral:rRNA from 1 species